rnacentral:rRNA from 1 species
GAUGAACGCUGGCGGCGUGCCUAAUACAUGCAAGUCGAGCGAACGGACGAGAAGCUUGCUUUUCUGAUGUUAGCGGCGGACGGGUGAGUAACACGCGGAUAACCUACCUAUAAGACUGGGAUAACUUCGGGAAACCGGAGCUAAUACCGGAUAAUAUUUUGAACCGCAUGGUUCAAAAGUGAAAGACGGUCUUGCUGUCACUUAUAGAUGGAUCCGCGCUGCAUUAGCUAGUUGGUAAGGUAACGGCUUACCAAGGCAACGAUGCAUAGCCGACCUGAGAGGGUGAUCGGCCACACUGGAACUGAGACACGGUCCAGACUCCUACGGGAGGCAGCAGUAGGGAAUCUUCCGCAAUGGGCGAAAGCCUGACGGAGCAACGCCGCGUGAGUGAUGAAGGUCUUCGGAUCGUAAAACUCUGUUAUUAGGGAAGAACAUAUGUGUAAGUAACUGUGCACAUCUUGACGGUACCUAAUCAGAAAGCCACGGCUAACUACGUGCCAGCAGCCGCGGUAAUACGUAGGUGGCAAGCGUUAUCCGGAAUUAUUGGGCGUAAAGCGCGCGUAGGCGGUUUUUUAAGUCUGAUGUGAAAGCCCACGGCUCAACCGUGGAGGGUCAUUGGAAACUGGAAAACUUGAGUGCAGAAGAGGAAAGUGGAAUUCCAUGUGUAGCGGUGAAAUGCGCAGAGAUGUGGAGGAACACCAGUGGCGAAGGCGACUUUCUGGUCUGUAACUGACGCUGAUGUGCGAAAGCGUGGGGAUCAAACAGGAUUAGAUACCCUGGUAGUCCACGCCGUAAACGAUGAGUGCUAAGUGUUAGGGGGUUUCCGCCCCUUAGUGCUGCAGCUAACGCAUUAAGCACUCCGCCUGGGGAGUACGACCGCAAGGUUGAAACUCAAAGGAAUUGACGGGGGCCCGCACAAGCGGUGGAGCAUGUGGUUUAAUUCGAAGCAACGCGAAGAACCUUACCAAAUCUUGACAUCCUUUGACAACUCUAGAGAUAGAGCCUUCCCCUUCGGGGGACAAAGUGACAGGUGGUGCAUGGUUGUCGUCAGCUCGUGUCGUGAGAUGUUGGGUUAAGUCCCGCAACGAGCGCAACCCUUAAGCUUAGUUGCCAUCAUUAAGUUGGGCACUCUAAGUUGACUGCCGGUGACAAACCGGAGGAAGGUGGGGAUGACGUCAAAUCAUCAUGCCCCUUAUGAUUUGGGCUACACACGUGCUACAAUGGACAAUACAAAGGGCAGCGAAACCGCGAGGUCAAGCAAAUCCCAUAAAGUUGUUCUCAGUUCGGAUUGUAGUCUGCAACUCGACUACAUGAAGCUGGAAUCGCUAGUAAUCGUAGAUCAGCAUGCUACGGUGAAUACGUUCCCGGGUCU